UACGGAGGGGGCUAGCGUUAUUCGGAAUUAUUGGGCGUAAAGGGCGUGUAGGCGGCUUCGUAAGUCUUGUGUGAAAGCCCUCGGCUCAACCGAGGAAUUGCACGGGAAACUGUGUCGCUCGAGUCCGGGAGAGGAUAGUGGAAUCCCCAGUGUAGCGGUGAAAUGCGUAGAUAUUGGGGGGAACACCGGUGGCGAAGGCGGCUAUCUGGACCGGUACUGACGCUGAGACGCGAAAGCCAGGGGAGCAAACGGG
rnacentral:rRNA from 1 species